rnacentral:lncRNA from 1 species
UUUAAAAAAAUUGUGCCCCGUCAGCGCCACUUCAGCAGCCACGUCAGCGGCCCAGUCAGCAGCCCUGGCCAACGAGGACCUGCCGCGUGGCAAGGCCACGUCGACCCGGGAACGGGCCACGUGGGCGAUCCGCGUGCGCGCAAUCGGACGGCCUAGAUGCGUCCCCGCGCGCACGGACGGCCCAGAUGCACGUGCACGGACGGCCCAGAUGCACGCACACGGACGGUCCAGAUUCAAUCAAGUAUGGACGGCCCCAGAUUUAAUUGUGAUGGACGGCCCAGAUUUAAUCCAAAUUAAAUCGCGAUCGAACGGUCCAGAUUAAAUCAAGAUGGAUAGCUGUGAU